rnacentral:rRNA from 1 species
UACGUAGGGGGCAAGCGUUGUCCGGAUUUAUUGGGCGUAAAGAGCGCGUAGGCGGCCAGAUAAGUCCGGUGUGAAAGUCAGAGGCUCAACCUUUGAAUGCCGCUGGAAACUGUCUGGCUAGAGUCCGGAAGGGGCGAGUGGAAUUCCUGGUGUAGCGGUGAAAUGCGCAGAUAUCAGGAGGAACACCGGUGGCGAAGGCGGGUCUCUGGGCCGAUGACUGACGCUGAGGAGCGAAAGCGUGGGGAGCGAACAGG